rnacentral:rRNA from 1 species
GACAGAGGCCUCAAGCGUUAGGCGGAAUCACUGGGCUUAAAGCGUGUGUAGGCGGAUCGUUAAGUGCCUUGUGAAAUCCCACGGCUUAACUGUGGAACGGCUGGGCAUACUGGCGGUCUUGAGCCAUCUAGGGGCGACUGGAACAAACGGUGGAGCGGUGAAAUGCGUAGAUAUCGGGAGGAACACCAAUGGCGAAGGCAGCUCGCUGGGACGGUACUGACGCUGAGGCGCGAAAGCGUGGGGAGCAAACAGG